rnacentral:rRNA from 1 species
UGGGGAAUCUUGGACAAUGGGGGCAACCCUGAUCCAGCCAUGCCGCGUGAGCGAUGAAGGCCUUAGGGUUGUAAAGCUCUUUCAGCGGGGAAGAUAAUGACGGUACCCGCAGAAGAAGCCCCGGCUAACUCCGUGCCAGCAGCCGCGGUAAUACGGAGGGGGCUAGCGUUGUUCGGAAUUACUGGGCGUAAAGCGCACGUAGGCGGACCAUCAAGUUGGGGGUGAAAUCCCGGGGCUCAACCCCGGAACUGCCUCCAAAACUGCUGGUCUGGAGGUCGAGAGAGGUGAGUGGAAUUCCGAGUGUAGAGGUGAAAUUCGUAGAUAUUCGGAGGAACACCAGUGGCGAAGGCGGCUCACUGGCUCGAUACUGACGCUGAGGUGCGAAAGCGUGGGGAGCAAACA